rnacentral:rRNA from 1 species
GAUAAACGUUGGCGGUGUGCCUUAUGCAUGCAAGUCGUACGAGGUUAUGGUCUUCGGAUUGUAACCGAGUGGCGAACGGCUGAGUAACACGUAAGUAACCUGCCUGCAAGUGGGGAAUAACCUGUCGAAAGGCAGGCUAAUACCGCAAUGAUAAUCGAGUGUUGCUUGAUUAUUAAAGCCUUAGGGUGCUUGGAGAUGGGCUUGCGUCUGAUUAGCUAGUUGGUGAGGUAAUGGCUUACCAAGGCGAUGAUCAGUAGCUGGUCUGAGAGGAUGGUCAGCCAGAUGGGGAUUGAGAUACGGCCCCAACUCCUACGGGAGGCAGCAGCAAGGGAUAUUGGGCAAUGGGCGAAAGCCUGACCCAGCGACACCGCGUGAGGGAGGAAGGCCUUCGGGUUGUAAACCUCUUUUCUCGAGGAAGAAUUUUGACGGUACUCGAGGAAUAAGCCUCGGCUAACUACGUGCCAGCAGCCGCGGUAAGACGUAGGAGGCGAACGUUAUCCGGAUUUACUGGGCGUAAAGAGAGCGUAGGCGGCUUUUUAAGUCAAGUGUGAAAUCUUGUGACUCAAUCAGAAGAAGCCGCUUGAUACUGGAUGGCUUGAGGGAAGCAGAAGGAAAUGGAAUUCCCAGUGUAGCGGUGAAAUGCGUUGAUAUUGGGAAGAACACCAGUGGCGAAGCCGACAGCGAUUUCCUAGGCUUUUCCUGACGCUGAGGCUCGAAAGCGUGGGGAGCGAAGCGGAUUAGAUACCCGCGUAGUCCACGCCUUAAACGGUGGACAUUAGGUAUGGGGAGUAUCGACCCUCUCCGUGUCGAAGCUAACGCUUUAAAUGUCCCGCCUGGGGAGACGGCCGCAAGGCU